AUGGAGGAAAAAGCAUUGGAUCUCGGUCGUUGGGAGUCUCAGUGGCACUGCACCUUUUACCAAGUAAGCUUCGGUCAUGCCCUGAAGAAAUUUGAAGUCUUCUCAAGCCAAAAGCAUGCUCUCUGCAGAAAAAAAAUAAUGCCAUUUCUUCCUAUAAUUUGUCCCCACAUGUAUCGUGUGGUUCACCAUAAGGGGCACCAAUCCAGUGGAUUUUGAAAUACAAGCUUCCUACAACAGAAGGUAAUUCUGUGUAGUCUAAACAAUUAUUAUAGCAUGGAAACACCACACGUUAGGUUUAUUACCAUUUUAUCUUUGCAUAGGGUUGGGUGUUUGGAAGAUGGGAGAUUUAAAAAGAGGUUUUACUCAAAGGCAGAAGUCUUAGUAAUAAGUUCAGUUUAUAUUUAAUGUAAAGCCAAAAUCCCUCUAGAAAAAAAAAUGCACAGAGCAAGUAAAUCAUG
rnacentral:lncRNA from 1 species